rnacentral:rRNA from 1 species
GGCUUAUUGAUUAUAAUUUUAAGUCUGACCUGCCCUAUGAGUGUUUAAAUGGCCGCAGUAAUUUGACUGUGCAAAGGUAGCAUAAUCAUUAGUUUUUUAAUUGAAAGCUGGAAUGAAUGGUUUGAUGAGAAAAUUUCUGUCUCUAUCUAAAUUUAUUAGAAAUUUAUUUUUAAGUAAAAAAGCUUAAAUAAACAUAGAAGACGAGAAGACCCUAUAGAGUUUAAUAGUUAUUUAUAUAAAUUUUAUUUUAGGAUUGAUGGAUUUAUAUAUUAGAUUAUUUGAUUGGGGUGAUAGAAAAAUUUGAUUAACUUUUUUUUUAUUGGACCAUUAAUUUAUGAAUAUUUGAUCCUUUUGCAUAAGAUUAAAAGAAUAAAUUACCUUAGGGAUAACAGCGUAAUUUUUUUUUAGAGCUCUAAUCGAAAAUAAAGAUUGCGACCUCGAUGUUGGAUUAAAAUAAAUUAUUGGUGUAGAAGCUAAUAAAAUUAGGUCUGUUCGACCUUUAAAAUUUUACAUGAUCUGAGUUUAGACCGGCGUGAG